GGACCAGUGGUGUAGCGGUUAACAUGUCACUCUGUCACAGUGAAGAUCGCGAGUUCGAUUCUCGUCUGGUCCGCCA
rnacentral:tRNA from 1 species